GACGAACGCUGGCGGCGUGCUUAACACAUGCAAGUCGAACGGUGAAAGCGGAGCUUGCUCCGCUGGAUCAGUGGCGAACGGGUGAGUAACACGUGGGCAACCUGCCCCUCACUUCGGGAUAACUCCGGGAAACCGGGGCUAAUACCGGAUAUGACCUCCUUGGGCAUCCUUGGAGGUGGAAAGUUUUUCGGUGAGGGAUGGGCCCGCGGGCUAUCAGCUUGUUGGUGAGGUAGUGGCGCACCAAGGCGACGACGGGUAGCCGGCCUGAGAGGGCGACCGGACACACUGGGACGGAGACACGGCCCAGACUCCUACGGGAGGCAGCAGUGGGGAAUAGUGCGCAAUGGGCGAAAGCCGGACGCAGCAACGCAGCGUGCGGGAUGACGGCCUUCGGGUUGUAAACCGCUUUCAGCAGGGAAGAGGCCGCAAGGUGACGGUACCUGCAGAAGAAGCACCGGCUAACUACGUGCCAGCCGCCGCGGUAA
rnacentral:rRNA from 1 species